rnacentral:rRNA from 1 species
CGGAUCUCUUGGUUCUGGCAUCNAUGAAGAACGCAGCGAAAUGCGAUAAGUAAUGCGAAUUGCAGAAUUCCAGUGAGUCAUCGAAUCUUUGAACGCACAUUGCGCCCUUUGGCAUUCCGAAGGGCAUGCCUGUUCGAGCGUCAUUAUCACCCUUCAAGCCCUGCGCUUGGUGUUGGACGGCUUGGUCGCAUAUCUCGUUCGACCCCUCCCAAAGACAAUGACGGCGGCCCGCGGUUCCCCCGGUACACUGAGCUUUUUAACUGAGCACGUAUCGGACAAGGGCGCCCGGGUCACGGUCCUCUCCCGUAACGGGAAACACUUUUAACUAANGUUGACCUCGGAUCANGUAGGAAUACGCGCUGAACUUAA